GGUCAGUGAUGAGGUGUAAAAGGUCUGAUCGCCCACAAUCCUCUGCUGCCUCUGGCUCCCAGCAGCUCGCUCUCUGCUCCCAUCAUGCUCCAGUGAUGCAGCCAUGGGCCCAGCAGCUGCUGACACACAGGAUGUGACAUCACAGGGAGGCUGCACUGAGAACCUGCAGUCUCUCUGUGAUGAUGAUUGACAUCCAACACAGCCAAUCAGAUCGGAGCGUCGGGCAGGAGAGGAGGAGGGAGCUGAUCUCAAGUUUUCAGUCUGAGACC